rnacentral:rRNA from 1 species
UACGAAGGUGGCAAGCGUUGUUCGGAUUUACUGGGCGUAAAGCGCGCGCAGGCGGCUAUCCAAGUCAGUGGUGAAAGCCCGGAGCUCAACUCCGGAACUGCCAUUGAAACUGUUUAGCUUGAGGAUGAGAGAGGUGAGUGGAAUUCCCAGUGUAGAGGUGAAAUUCGUAGAUAUUGGGAAGAACACCGGUGGCGAAGGCGGCUCACUGGCUCAUUACUGACGCUCAGGCGCGAUAGCGUGGGGAUCAAACAGG